CCACUAAGUAUAUCACCAUGGAAGAACGUUUAAACCUCAGUUAAACGACAUUGGCAGACGGAUUAAGGAUGACGAUAAAGCAAGUGAUACUCGUGGGUAUUCUGGUGCUGUGUGUAGCACUAAUACAAGCGGCUCCACAAGGAGACGAAGCGGCCCGUGACGUAAGCGCGUUCUGUUCGUCGGAUUACGACCGGGCUUACUGUGGUACGAGAUGCAACAGAGGCGACUGCACUAGCCGUGGUCAGCGGGAUUGCCCCAACGGACAACUCUGCUGCAUGUGUCCGCAGUAGAAUUAUGUGACCUGUCACGUGAUGCCGAAUAACGGUCAAGACAGCUGAAAACAUAAAUAAAAUAUCAGAAAAAACUAAAA